rnacentral:rRNA from 1 species
AUCUAUGGCCAUACCACCCUGAACAUGGCUGAUCUUGUCUGAUCUUGGAAGCUAAGCAGGGUUGGGCCUGGUUAGUACUUGGAUGAGAGACCAUUAAAAAGGGUGCUGCUCUUGAGC